GAUUGGGAAGUAAGGAGACUAGAGGUAUUGGGGCACUGUGCAUCAAUAUGAUCUUAGCUGGGGAAAAACACAUGCAUUUAAGGGUUAUCUCACAUUUGACAUAUGAACAGCAUUUACUCCCAAAAGUCUUAGUGAGGUGAAGAACUGUUUUAGGUAGUUUUUGGUAAUUUAAUCCAGUUCAGUGUGGUAGUUUUGGCAAUGUAAUCCAUCCAGUUCAAUGUGGAUUUUAUACAGCUGUGUGAAAGGGGCCUUAGAGAUGUGAACAAUGAACUGAAAGCUAGAUCAAGUUCAAUUUAGUUGUUCACACUUCGAACAUGCUGGGAUCACUCUGGAGAGUUUUGAAAGCUCCAGAGUAUAUCCUAUGUCCUCUUGACCAACAUUAAUUGCUGGAUGCAUCACUUCUGCUGCAACAUCUGGACUCCCUGCAGUAUCUGAGUGGUGAAUUUGAAACUAUUUUAUGGGUCUAUCCUAUGAUUCCUGAGAUUUGUAGUAUACAGAAAACAUAAAAUUCCUAUGGUUUUUCUGUAAUGUUGACUUUGUGUUUUCAGAGGGUUGAUUGAAAAUGUUAUUUGUUCGUUUAUUUAUUCAUUUAAAAGAAGGCUUCCCAUAUUUUGAACUUAGUGAAAAGUGACCCCUUACAUCAAUGCCGGCUGUACUUUGCUACUUUCCACUUCAAGCACUAAAAUUCAGAGAGGAAAUCUAACUUAAGUUCAAGCAGUUCAGGCAAUAUUAAUGAAGCACUGUAUGACUCCCUUAUCCAUGGUAGAAUACGUUCCAAGAUAAGAUACCUGACAAAAUGGAUAACAGUAAAUCCUAUAUUUUGACUUUACUUCCUUUGGAAGCAGACCAAUGAAUUGCACUGGAAAAUCUACUAGGGUGGAGAAUAUUUUUUGGAAAAUGGAAAAAUGAAACCAUUUAUAUUGAACCCAUGCAUAAAGGGGGUGUAGUAUAUACCUAAAGUAACAAAGACCUUUAUACCUUUAUAUUCUAAGCAAUAAAAGCUUCAUACCUUAACAACCUAUAAGCACAACAAAAUCUAUGAGUGCUUUACAAAAUAAUUAUCAUUUAAUCAAUUUACUUUCUCCAGAAUGUCUUUAAAAUAGUCUGAACAUGUAAUUAGCAUAGCAUAUAUAGUAAUCUUACAUUUACCUAUUUUUAACCUGUAAAUAUUAGGAAGGUCAAACAAGUUCCAGCCAAGACAUCAUUUUAUUUAAUUUCAUUCUGUUUCAAAUGGGCAACAGGUGAUGAAGCAAUUCUAAUAGCAGUGGUUCCCCUUCAGGCUUCCCCAAUAGAGUUAAAGUGCACUGCUAGGUAAAGAAAAAGUAUUCUAUAAAAUAUAGAUCAGCAUAAAAGUAAAUGUAAAAAAGGAAUACAAUUGCUAACAUCUUUGUGAACAUAUAUGAAACUUACUACAGCAGAAGCGACGGGAAAAGAUAUCUAUAAGUAGGCGCACAAAGCAAAUGAACAACUAAAUUAGAUCUGGGGAAAUCGUCUGCAGCAAACAACAUAAUGCCUCUUAUUCUUAAUGCCUUGUUUGUUAUUGCUGCUUUGUAUUCUAUUAAUCUGUUAUGUAGAAUAGUUCUGCAAACAUUUUGAGUCAUGGAUUGCCUGCAAAUAGAGCUCACCACAUUUAUUAUUUGCUAUUAGUGGUAACUUUGAGAUGUUACCAUAGCAACACUUUUCCUUCCUGUUCAGAUUAGGGCAACAAAUAAAGAGGAAGAAAGGUGUAAGUUUCCAAACACAUUUUGGAUUUUCCCAUGGAGAGGGUGAGCAUAUUUCAUUCAGCAGAGAUGCAACAAAAUUAUAUAAACAAUAUGUAUUUUCAGCUUAUUGAUCAUUUCUCU
rnacentral:lncRNA from 1 species